GUGCAAGUCCAGAUGGAGGCCACCAACCUCUCGUCUUUCUCAGUUCACUGUGGGGUCUUAGGAUAUAGCCUCAUCUCCCUGGUAACAGUGAGCUGUGAAGGAUUUGUUGACGCUGGAAGGACCAAACUAGCUGUGUUACAUCCAGAAUUUGGUACCCAGCAGUGGGCUCCUGCCAGGCAGGCCCACUGGGAAACCCCAAACAGCGUCUCUGUCACUCUGACCAUGGGACAAUCCAAAGCAAGAAGCUCUCUAGCCAACACCACAUUCUGCUGCGAGUUUGUUACCUUUCCUCAUGGUUCCAGGGUUGCCUGUAGAGACCUGCAUAGAUCAGAUCCAGGACUCUCUGCCCCAACUCCAGCCCUCAAUCUUCAAGCAGACCUGGUGAGGAUCUUGGGAACCUCAGGAGUUUUCCUGUUUGGUUUCAUCUUUAUACUAUGUCUCCGGUGGCAGCAGAGGCAUUGGUGUUUGAGUAAAUCUCAGCCAUCUCUCACUAGCACCCAGGCACAGGUGGAGACUCAGGUAAGGCUUGAAGGAGGAUGUUUGGAGCAGGAUACCAGGGGUCCACA
rnacentral:lncRNA from 1 species